GACGUAGGGUGCGAGCGUUGUCCGGAUUUAUUGGGCGUAAAGAGCUCGUAGGCGGCUCAGUAAGUCAGGUGUGAAAACUCCAGGCUCGACCUGGAGACGCCACUUGAUACUGCUGUGGCUAGGGUCCGGUAGGGGAGCAUGGAAUUCCUGGUGUAGCGGUGAAAUGCGCAGAUAUCAGGAGGAACACCGGUGGCGAAGGCGGGUCUCUGGGCCGAUACUGACGCUGAGGAGCGAAAGCGUGGGGAGCGAACAGG
rnacentral:rRNA from 1 species